GGAACACAGCUCAGUGGUAGAGCUUAUGCUUUGCAUGCAGAAGUACCUAGGUUAAAUCCCUGGAAUCUCCA